rnacentral:rRNA from 1 species
AGCGCAGGCGGUGACUUAAGUCUGAUGUGAAAGCCCACGGCUCAACCGUGGAAGGUCAUUGGAAACUGGGUCACUUGAAUAUAGAAGAGGAAAGUGGAAUUCCAUGUGUAGCGGUGAAAUGCGUAGAUAUAUGGAGGAACACCAGUGGCGAAGGCGACUUUCUGGUCUAUUAUUGACGCUGAGGCUCGAAAGCAUGGGUAGCAAACAG